rnacentral:snRNA from 1 species
UCACCACUCUGGCCUUUUGGCUUAGAUCAAGUGUAGUAUCUGUUCUUAAUAGUUUAACCACUAUUAUGGAGGCACCGCCUCCAUUCUUGGUUAUCUAAUUUUUGCCGCCCCAGUUUUCAUCGGGCUCUGCUUGCACCCCUUUGGACACGAUGACCUUGCUUCUGUACUAUCAGCUUGCGUCGUCGGGGGAUC